GACGAACGCUGGCGGCGUGCCUAAUACAUGCAAGUCGAGCGCAGGAAGCCGACGGAACCCUUCGGGGGGAAGUCGACGGAAUGAGCGGCGGACGGGUGAGUAACACGUAAAGAACCUGCCCUCAGGUCUGGGAUAACCACGAGAAAUCGGGGCUAAUACCGGAUGGGUCAUCGGACCGCAUGGUCCGAGGAUGAAAGGCGCUUCGGCGUCGCCUGGGGAUGGCUUUGCGGUGCAUUAGCUAGUUGGUGGGGUAAUGGCCCACCAAGGAGACGAUGCAUAGCGGACCUGAGAGGGUGAUCGGCCACACUGGGACUGAGACACGGCCCAGACUCCUACGGGAGUCAGCAGUAGGGAAUCUUCCACAAUGGACGAAAGUCUGAUGGAGCAACGCCGCGUGAACGAUGAAGGCCUUCGGGUCGUAAAGUUCUGUUGUAAGGGAAGAACAAGUGCCGCAGGCAAUGGCGGCACCUUGACGGUACCUUGCGAGAAAGCCACGGCUAACUACGUGCCAGCCGCCGCGGUAACAC
rnacentral:rRNA from 1 species